rnacentral:rRNA from 1 species
AACGUAGGGGGCAAGCGUUGUCCGGAUUUAUUGGGCGUAAAGAGCGUGUAGGCGGCCAAGCAGGUCCGCUGUGAAAACUCGAGGCUCAACCUCGAGAGGUCGGUGGAAACCGUUUGGCUAGAGUCCGGAAGAGGAGAGUGGAAUUCCCGGUGUAGCGGUGAAAUGCGCAGAUAUCGGGAAGAACACCCGUGGCGAAGGCGGCUCUCUGGGACGGUACUGACGCUGAGACGCGAAAGCGUGGGGAGCGAACAGG